GGAAAUCUCACCCGGCCCGGACACCGCGAGGAUUGACAGACUGAGAGCUCUUUCUCGAUUCGGUGGGUGGUGGUGCAUGGCCGUUCUUGGUUGGUGGAGCGAUCUGUCUGGUUAAUUCCGAUAACGAACGAGACCCCAACCUGCUAACUAGCCCUCGGGUCCUGCUUCUGUUGGGCCCGACGGAAUGAUUCGCUUCUUAGAGGGACUCGCGGCGCCUAGCCGCACGAAGGGGGGCGAUAA
rnacentral:rRNA from 1 species